rnacentral:misc_RNA from 1 species
UCUCCGUUGGUGAACCAGCGGAGGGAUCAUUACCGAGUUUACAACUCCCAAACCCCUGUGAACAUACCAUUUGUUGCCUCGGCGGUGCCUGCUUCGGCAGCCCGCCAGAGGACCCAAACCCUUGAUUUUAUACAGUAUCUACUGAGUAAAUGAUUAAAUAAAUCAAAACUUUCAACAACGGAUCUCUUGGUUCUGGCAUCGGUGAAGAACGCGC